rnacentral:lncRNA from 1 species
AAUUUACCAUCAUGAAACUCUUCAAAACAGGUCAACUGACUGGAAACAAGUUGCUAAAACAUUACACAAAGUGUCCACCAUGUCAUCCAGCCUGCAGAGGGUGGGUCUUGUCCAGAGCUGCAGACUUAGGAGAAGCUCGACAGAAGAAAAGAAAGUCAUCAGAACUGGAACUACCUCAUGGUGGCCCAUGAGAGGCCGGAAAGAGAGCAACUAACGAUUCUUGAGAUCCUACAAAGUGCCUGGUAUCUUCUCAAGUAAUCUAAAUAAAAUUUUCUUUUCAAUAGCUCCACAACCCUAUAAAGCGUGCUUUCUCCUUUUUUACUGAUGAAGGAACUAGACUCAGAC